AUACGUAGGUGACAAGCGUUAUCCGGAUUUACUGGGCGUAAAGGGCGUGUAGGCGGUCUUGCAAGUCAGAAGUGAAAUUCCUGAGCUCAACUCGGGCGCUGCUUCUGAAACUGCAGGACUUGAGUGCUGGAGGGGAUAGCGGAAUUCCUAGUGGAGCGGUAAAAUGCGCAGAUAUUAGGAAGAACACCGGUGGCGAAGGCGGCUAUCUGGACAGUAACUGACGCUGAGGCGCGAAAGCGUGGGGAGCAAACAGGAUUAGAUACCCUGGUAGUCCACGCCGUAAACGACGAAUACUAGGUGUAGGGGGUAUCGACUCCCUCUGUGCCGCAGUUAACACAAUAAGUAUUCCGCCUGGGGAGUACGGCCGCAAGGUUGAAACUCAAAUGAAUUGACGGGG
rnacentral:rRNA from 1 species